rnacentral:rRNA from 35 species
AGAGUUUGAUCCUGGCUCAGGAUGAACGCUGGCGGCGUGCCUAAUACAUGCAAGUCGAGCGAACGGACGAGAAGCUUGCUUCUCUGAUGUUAGCGGCGGACGGGUGAGUAACACGUGGAUAACCUACCUAUAAGACUGGGAUAACUUCGGGAAACCGGAGCUAAUACCGGAUAAUAUUUUGAACCGCAUGGUUCAAAAGUGAAAGACGGUCUUGCUGUCACUUAUAGAUGGAUCCGCGCUGCAUUAGCUAGUUGGUAAGGUAACGGCUUACCAAGGCAACGAUGCAUAGCCGACCUGAGAGGGUGAUCGGCCACACUGGAACUGAGACACGGUCCAGACUCCUACGGGAGGCAGCAGUAGGGAAUCUUCCGCAAUGGGCGAAAGCCUGACGGAGCAACGCCGCGUGAGUGAUGAAGGUCUUCGGAUCGUAAAACUCUGUUAUUAGGGAAGAACAUAUGUGUAAGUAACUGUGCACAUCUUGACGGUACCUAAUCAGAAAGCCACGGCUAACUACGUGCCAGCAGCCGCGGUAAUACGUAGGUGGCAAGCGUUAUCCGGAAUUAUUGGGCGUAAAGCGCGCGUAGGCGGUUUUUUAAGUCUGAUGUGAAAGCCCACGGCUCAACCGUGGAGGGUCAUUGGAAACUGGAAAACUUGAGUGCAGAAGAGGAAAGUGGAAUUCCAUGUGUAGCGGUGAAAUGCGCAGAGAUAUGGAGGAACACCAGUGGCGAAGGCGACUUUCUGGUCUGUAACUGACGCUGAUGUGCGAAAGCGUGGGGAUCAAACAGGAUUAGAUACCCUGGUAGUCCACGCCGUAAACGAUGAGUGCUAAGUGUUAGGGGGUUUCCGCCCCUUAGUGCUGCAGCUAACGCAUUAAGCACUCCGCCUGGGGAGUACGACCGCAAGGUUGAAACUCAAAGGAAUUGACGGGGACCCGCACAAGCGGUGGAGCAUGUGGUUUAAUUCGAAGCAACGCGAAGAACCUUACCAAAUCUUGA